rnacentral:rRNA from 1 species
AUUGAACGCUGGCGGCAGGCUUAACACAUGCAAGUCGAGCGGGGGAAGGUAGCUUGCUACCGGACCUAGCGGCGGACGGGUGAGUAAUGCUUAGGAAUCUGCCUAUUAGUGGGGGACAACAUCUCGAAAGGGAUGCUAAUACCGCAUACGUCCUACGGGAGAAAGCGGGGGAUCUUCGGACCUUGCGCUAAUAGAUGAGCCUAAGUCGGAUUAGCUAGUUGGUGGGGUAAAGGCCUACCAAGGCGACGAUCUGUAGCGGGUCUGAGAGGAUGAUCCGCCACACUGGGACUGAGACACGGCCCAGACUCCUACGGGAGGCAGCAGUGGAGAAUAUUGGACAAUGGGGGGAACCCUGAUCCAGCCAUGCCGCGUGUGUGAAGAAGGCCUUAUGGUUGUAAAGCACUUUAAGCGAGGAGGAGGCUACUCUAGUUAAUACCUAGGGAUAGUGGACGUUACUCGCAGAAUAAGCACCGGCUAACUCUGUGCCAGCCGCCGCGGUAA